ensembl:snoRNA
UGGAUCGAUGAUGAUGACUGGUGGCGGAUGAGUCGAGGAUCAUGACUACUGGUCUGGAAGGCUGAGGUCCAA